rnacentral:misc_RNA from 1 species
UGUACAAUCAAGCACUGCUUGGUGUUGGGACUCGCGGUAACCCGCGUUCCCCAAAUCGAUUGGCGGUCACGUCGAGCUUCCAUAGCGUAGUAAUCAUACACCUCGUUACUGGUAAUCGUCGCGGCCACGCCGUUAAACCCCAACUUCUGAA